rnacentral:rRNA from 1 species
AUUGAACGCUGGCGGCAGGCCUAACACAUGCAAGUCGAACGAGUGGCGGACGGGUGAGUAAUGUCUGGGAAACUGCCUGAUGGAGGGGGAUAACUACUGGAAACGGUAGCUAAUACCGCAUACCAUCGGAUGUGCCCAGAUGGGAUUAGCUAGUAGGUGGGGUAAAGGCUCACCUAGGCGACGAUCCCUAGCUGGUCUGAGAGGAUGACCAGCCACACGGGAACUGAGAAACGGUCCAGACUCCUACGGGAGGCAGCAGUGGGGAAUAUUGCACAAUGGGCGCAAGCCUGAUGCAGUCAUGCCGCGUGUAUGAAGAGGGCCUUCGGGUUGUAAAGGACUUUCAGCGGGGAGGCGUUACUCGCAGAAGAAGCACCGGCUAACUCCGUGCCAGCAGCCGCGGUAAUAC